UGGUGGCCUGACGUUAACUCCAGCAGCUUCAACCAAACCUCUGAAGGUGAGGACAUGUAGAUAGGUAGAUAUAGACAUGUAGGACAUAUUCUGACCUAUUCUAGCUGUUUCAAGAGGAAAUGAGAAUGACAUGAAGAUGGAGGAAGAUGAAGAUGGAGGAAGAUGAAGAUGGAGGAAGAUGAAGAUGGAGGAAGAUGAUGGAAGAAGAUGAAGAUGGAGGAAGAUGAAGAUGGAGGAAGAUGAAGAUGGAGGAAGUCAUCAUACACUGAGUGUGACAGAGACAUCAUGACAACGAAGGACAAAAACCCAGAAGUGAGCUGAAUCGGACCGACACCUUGAGGAGUUUGAAGUGACAUGAAGAUGCAGCCGAAGAGAACAUGAAAGCAAAGUGUCGGCCCUGAUCCUCCGCCGCGUCCCCCGGUGGAAUAAUUUGGUGCCUUUUAAACCCAAUCAUCAAGUCAUCAAAGACGUAAUCUGCACCGUCCACUGCCAGCAACCACAAGUGGACCUGGAAACAAAAAAACAAGGCAGGAACA